AAAGAUGGCUGUAUAUCUGGUUGCCGAAUAGUAAGCAACGGAAAGACAUAUGCGAGAAUAAGGAAAUAAAAUUAGCGGACGCAACCUUGACUGCGAAACAAUACACGCUCUUUUUUGUAUCGAAUCGGGAAACGAAGGCUUCCCGUCCCCGCGGCGGCUUCCGCCUUCGAAAAUUUGACCCGCUAUUUGGCUUGACCCCGCGUUUAGAAACGAGUUUUGGAAACAAAUGGAUUUUGUUGUUACUCUCCCAAAACCGGAAGGAAUAAGGUCAAGCAUUCCUUUCAACAGUGUUGCGUAAUUCCAUUGUAACCGAUGACCGUUAAUAAUAAUUAAAAAUCGCUAGUAUUGACGCUCGUAUCGCCCUAAAUAAGAAAUACGUCGGCAAAUCAGUUAAUGUCUUUGGGAACGAACGGUGUAUACCGGCCGCCGAUGCGUCGGCAAUAAUUAGUUAUUAAUUAUGAAGGUUUCGAGGAAAGAUGAUAUAACCGG